rnacentral:rRNA from 1 species
CCUACGGGAGGCAGCAGUGAGGAAUAUUGGUCAAUGGGCGAGAGCCUGAACCAGCCAAGUCGCGUGAGGGAUGGAGGAUCUAUGGUUUGUAAACUUCUGUUAUAUGGGAGUAAAGUGAGGAACGUGUUCCUUUUUGUGUGUACCAUAUGAAUAAGCAUCGGCUAACUCCGUGCCAGCAGCCGCGGUAAGACGGAGGAUGCGAGCGUUGUCCGGAUUUGUUGGGUUUAAAGGGUGCGUAGGUGGUUAAUUAAGUCAGCGGUGAAAGUUUGUGGCUCAACCAUAAAAUUGCCGUUGAAACUGGUUGACUUGAGUAUAUUUGAGGUAGGCGGAAUGCGUGGUGGAGCGGUGAAAUGCAUAGAUAUCACGCAGAACUACGAGUGCGAAGGCAGCUUACUAAACUAUAACUGACACUGAAGCACGAAAGCGUGGGGGUCAAACAGGAUUAGAUACCCGGGUAGUC